rnacentral:rRNA from 1 species
GAUGAACGCUAGCGAUAGGCUUAACACAUGCAAGUCGAGGGGCAGCAUUAUUUUAGCUUGCUAAGAUAGAUGGCGACCGGCGCACGGGUGCGUAACGCGUAUGCAACCUGCCUGUAAUUAGGGAAUAACCCGGUGAAAGUCGGACUAAUACCCUAUAUUCUUCUUUUUCCGCAUGGAGAAGGACGGAAAGAUUUAUUGAUUACAGAUGGGCAUGCGUCCCAUUAGCUCGUUGGUAAGGUAACGGCUUACCAAGGCAACGAUGGGUAGGGGGACUGAGAGGUUGACCCCCCACACUGGUACUGAGACACGGACCAGACUCCUACGGGAGGCAGCAGUGAGGAAUAUUGGUCAAUGGGCGAGAGCCUGAACCAGCCAAGUCGCGUGAAGGACGACGGUUCUAUGGAUUGUAAACUUCUUUUGUAGAGGAAUAAUGGCAGCUACGUGUAGCUGAGAUGCAUGUACUCUACGAAUAAGUAUCGGCUAACUCCGUGCCAGCAGCCGCGGUAAUACGGAGGAUACGAGCGUUAUCCGGAAUUAUUGGGUUUAAAGGGUGCGUAGGUGGCGUAUUAAGUCAGUGGUGAAAAGCUGCAGCUCAACUGUAGUCUUGCCGUUGAAACUGAUAUGCUAGAGAGGAGACGAGGUAUGCGGAAUGUGUGGUGUAGCGGUGAAAUGCAUAGAUAUCACACAGAACGCCGAUUGCGAAGGCAGCGUACCAGGCUCCGUCUGACACUGAAGCACGAAAGCGUGGGGAUCAAACAGGAUUAGAUACCCUGGUAGUCCACGCAGUAAACGAUGAAUACUAGAUUUUUGCGAUAUAGUGUAAGAGUCUAAGCGAAAGCGAUAAGUAUUCCACCUGGGGAGUACGCCGGCAACGGUGAAACUCAAAGGAAUUGACGGGGGCCCGCACAAGCGGAGGAACAUGUGGUUUAAUUCGAUGAUACGCGAGGAACCUUACCCGGGAUUGAAAUUUAAAUGGCGGC